rnacentral:tRNA from 1 species
AGGCGCCGGUAGGCGGGGAUGCGCAACGGGCGGGUGUCCAUCGCCCAGCGGCGCCAGCCGCGCCGGGGCGGGUCCCCGGCCGUCGGCGCUUC